GGGGGCGAACCAGGAUCGACGUCGUAUGUUCUGGUUCGGGAAGCGAGCCGAGGUUCCGCUCCUCGUAAAACAGCGGAAACGGCACAACUGCCAACGAUUCAAACUACGCUCUCGCUGCCUAAGCGCACUUGAGCCGUUCCUCCUGGCGAAGCCUGCGCGCCGGAGGGACGCUAAUUAGCGGGCUCACGCGCGGGGGGCGCCCCGACUACGCGCGGACAUCAACUGAGGCUGGCUGACGGCGACUUCGCCCUUGUAAGGCGCCGAAGGUGAGAUUAAAGCGAGGGCUACGCUCGUAGAUGCCCGUACUGGGGGUUCGGCGGACCGGGGGGGCAGUUCCCCCGCGCCUCCACCA
rnacentral:tmRNA from 1 species